AGAGCAGUUCCAGCUCGCUCCCUCUCCCUCCGCCACUCGCUGGCCUUAGAUCGAUGCUGCCGCCAAGUUUCGCUGAGACAUUCUUCGUUCUAUCUGUAGCCUAAUGAUGUUGGUGAAUGCAUGUUUCAGGAACAUAAGCGCCAAGAGGAAGGUACCUCUGCAUCGACUGCAAAGAAAUCACGCAAGCUUGGUCAUUGCACGUGUCCCUCCUCUCUGAAAAGAUUUCUGGCGGUUAUGGCAUAUGCUAGGUGCCAAAUAGUAUGCAUGUGUUAGUGAGAAAGAUGAGGAGAUCAACUGAUCCAGGAUGUGCAACAUUAUAAGACAAUCCCAUGAGCAGGCAUGUACCUUUGUGUACCUCGGUACGUCCAAAACACUAGCAACAACCAAGUGAACGGUUGGAAAAAGGGAAACAAGAAAAAAACCAAAAAAAACCAUAUAGAUAUUGGAAGGCAAACAAAAGUAGUAGAGAUAUGGUAUUUUAGUUUUGACAGGAUUUGGAACCCGUUUUAGAAAUUGAUAUUGUUUGAAGUGCACUUGUACUGAAUUCAAACAUUUCUUUCCUAAUAUCUUCAAAUUAUAUGAUUUUUGCUAAA